rnacentral:rRNA from 1 species
GAUAAGACAGCUGAAUGAUAGUCGGGCUGAAGACUCUACUUGACUAGCUGAGAGGAGGUGCAUGGCCGUCGUCAGUUCGUACUGUGAAGCAUCCUGUUAAGUCAGGCAACGAGCGAGACCCACGCCAACAGUUGCCAGCUCGUCCUCCGGGAUGGUGGGGACACUGUUGGGACCGCCUCUGCUAAAGAGGAGGAAGGAAUGGGCAACGGUAGGUCAGCAUGCCCCGAAUUAUCUGGGCUACACGCGGGCUACAAUGGGUGGGACAAUGGGUAUCGACACCGAAAGGUGAAGGCAAUCUCCUAAACCCAUCCGUAGUUCGGAUUGUGGGCUGCAACUCGCCCACAUGAAGCUGGAAUCUGUAGUAAUCGUGUCUCAAAAUGGCACGGUGAAUAUGUCCCUGCUCCUU